rnacentral:RNase_P_RNA from 1 species
GUUGAAGGCCGGGAAAUCACCCGCCAAAUCUUACCUUUCGCCUUCUCGUACUAUUCGUACACGGCUCAAGGAGCGAUUUCAGGUGGGAGGAAAGUCCGGACAGCUAAAAGCAGGGUGUCAGAUGAAAGUCUGAGAUCCCGCCGCAAGGCGGGAGCCAGUUAGAGCAACAGUGACGAAUCCCGCCUCUGGCGGGAGUGAAACGGGCAAUCCUCCCCGCUGCAAUCUGCGAAAGACUCGUUAUCAGGAGGCUUUUCCGAGAGUCAAGGGUCAGAGCAUUAGACAGAUAUUUCUUAAACAGAAUCCGGCUUAUGAGCCUUCAACCGUU